GAAACAUUCACAAUUGUUUUUUCAAAAGUUUGGACUUCUGUGUUGAGGCAGUCCAAGCACGGGUUGGAAAAGAAUUUCCAGACAUAGAGCAUUUCAGGAAGUAAUGAGUUUAUUCGGAACAAAGGACAGAGAUAGUGUGCACACUGAGAGUACAGCAGGCCAAGCUGCUUACAGGCCGGGGAGAGUCGACGUGUUUCACGGGUUAGGAGCCGGUGACCUCAAGGAAGAUUCCUGCUGCAAGGCUGGCAUUAGGUGAUUGAUUAGGUUGCUAUACGUGAACCAGGAGGAAGAGGAGACAGGCUUCAGUUGUGGCAAGAGAAAUUUAGAUUUGACAUCUGCUGAGUUAACAUAAAGACUCCAUAUUUUUGGAAGUAAAAAAAGAAAGAAAGAAAGAAAAAAAUCUGAGUUGAUGUUUUAAAAUAUUUGUAAAGAAUUUCAUAAAAAACAAAACCCCACUCUCUCCAAUGCAUUCUCCAGGAAGGAAACAGAAACAUUUACUUGUACCUAAGUAGUAUUUUUUGUUACAUCAUCUGAUAAUAUGCUAAAUGAAUACUUUGAUUAAAGUACUUAAAUGAAAAGUUCCAUGUAAAUAUAGCCAUAAAGUAGAACAUAGAACUAAUAGAGACUUAGCAUGCUGCUGCUGCUGCUGAUAAAUCGCUUCAGUCGUGUCCGACUCUGUGCGACCCCAUAGAUGGCAGGCCACCAGGCUACCCCGUCCCUGGGAUUCUCCAAGCAAGAACACUGGAGUGGGUUGCCAUUUCCUUCUCCAAUGCGUGAAAGUGAAAAGUGAAAGUGAAGUCGCUCAGUCGUGUCCAGCUCUUCACGACCCCAUGGACUGCAGCCUACCAGGCUCCUCCGUCCAUGGGAUUUUCCAUCCAAGAGUACUGGAGUGGAGUGUCAUCCCCUUCUCUGAGAGACUUAGCAUAGAAUGUACUAAAAACUAUUUACAAGGAGUUUCAAGAAUAACUUUUUUACUUUCACAAAAGCGAAAGGAAAAAUGGACACAUUUUUAUCUGGUCUAUUCUUAUUCUUUCAGAUUACACUGAUACUAACACUGCUUGUAACAGUAAAAAGUUCUUCAUUCUUGGAAUAAAUUAUGAAUCUUCUCA
ensembl:lncRNA